rnacentral:rRNA from 1 species
GACGGGACCGCACAAGCGGUGGAUGAUGUGGUUUAAUUCGAUGCAACGCGAAAACCUUACCACCUUUGACAUGUACGGAAUCCUUUAGAGAUAGAGGAGUGCUCGAAAGAGAACCGUAACACAGGUGCUGCAUGGCUGUCGUCAGCUCGUGUCGUGAGAUGUUGGGUUAAGUCCCGCAACGAGCGCAACCCUUGUCAUUAGUUGCUACAUUCAGUUGGGCACUCUAAUGAGACUGCCGGUGACAAACCGGAGGAAGGUGGGGAUGACGUCAAGUCCUCAUGGCCCUUAUAGGUGGGGCUACACACGUCAUACAAUGGAUGGUACAAAGGGUCGCCAACCCGCGAGGGGGGAGCCAAUCCCAUAAAGCCAUUCGUAGUCCGGAUCGCAGUCUGCAACUCGACUGCGUGAAGUCGGAAUCGCUAGUAAUCGUGGAUCAGAAUGUCACGGUGAAUACGUUCCCGGGCCUU